CCACAUAUGGGCCCAAAGUGCUGAGGUGGCAUUUCUGAUUACCUUGAUAAGCAGGUUUUGAUGAAGGGCCUCUGAGCUCUCACAAGUGGGGCUACUUGAAAGAGCAAACUGUUAUCCAGGAAGUGAGAGUGGCUAAGGACUUGCUUCUGACAGUUGCGGUGGCAAAACGGGUCAUAUCCCUCUGGAAGUUUGUCCGUGAGAGCAGAAGCGGGCAACCGCAGCAGGCAGGAGCCUCCUGAAUCCCCAACUCAGACAGAGAAACAGAGAAGCUAAAGGAAUUUACCCAAGGACACAAAGCUAACUAGUGACAGAGCCUGGGUUUGAACCUCUGACGUCUUGCUCUCUUGAAGCAUAUGAGGACCUGGAAUGAUAAGAUGGACCACCUGGGAAGAGGGAACCUCAGUUGAAGAAUUGUGCCUCCAUCAAACUGCGGCGUGAGCCUGUCUGUGGGAAAUCUUCUCGACUGCGAUGUACGUGGGACAGCCAAGCCCACCGUGGGUGGUGUCAUCCCUGGGCAGGUGGGCCUGGGCUGUAGAGAAGGGUAGUGAACCAAGCCAAUCAGCAGCGUUCCUCCAUGGUCUCUGCUCUGUCCCUGCCCUGGCUUCCCUUGGUGAUAAACUGUAACUUGUAAGCGGAAAAAAAACUUUUUUG